AAGCAGCCAGACAUUUAGUUUGAUAUGUCAUUCCAUAAAGCAGCCAGACAUUUAGUUUGAUAUGUCAUUCCAUAAAGCAGCCAGACAUUUAGUUUGAUAUGUCAUUCCAUAAAGCAGCCAGACAUUUAGUUUGAUAUGUCAUUCCACAAAGCAGCCAGAUAUUCCCAUUAGUUUAUGGUAAUUCCGGUUAUUUUUUAUUCUGUUAAUGCUCUUGUCAGAAAGACCUCAGUUGUGUCUAGUUUUAAUGUCUCUGAUCACUUCUGAACCGGUAGUCCUUGUCUGUAAAUGAUGUGUAUUUGUUUUGAUAUCACCUGUGUCAUAAGAUGUGCUCCAACACAGAUCCAAGCGUUAAUAUCCCAGGCUCACCCAUACUGUGUGAGAUGGUAACUGUGUGUUAGAGCAUCUCUCAGCUGGCCUGUCUGUACCUGUAUCCUGGGCUUUGAGCUCUGGGGUGAAGACUGGUGAUUUGUGUGUGGUGACACCCAAUGCCUUCUAAUGGACUGGAGUCCCUCAUCCAUGCUAUUUAUAGAUGACUGUGUCAAAUCUAGUUCAUACACCCCUUCCAACCCCACUGCCUCCACAACAUUUCUGUUGAGUGGAGCCCCCAAGGACUCACUGUUCACUGAGGAUAAAACCUCCGACUGUCUUCGACAACAAGGAGAGGGGAGGUCCGUUAGGCCUGAUCAGGGCAGAGUCACAUGCCAUUUGAUACUGUCAUGACAACCAAUCAGAAAUGUUGUUGAAAUAGAAAUGUUUUUAAAUACGGUAGUGGUGAAAUGCCAUACAGAGAUGAGCUGGGGGAUUUUCCACAGUGGAGCAGUAGAUAUUUAGCCAUAAACCGCUCAAUACUUAAUUUAUUUUUUAGUGAUUACGUUUGUUAAAUUUGUUUAUGCUAUAAGCAAUACAGUUACACAGAAUACCUGAAAACGUCAUGUAGUAUAAGCAUGUGCUAUGCAGUAAACUCUGAAGUGUUCUGCUCUUCAGUGUCCAAGUGUACCUAGUACGGGGACGUUUAGGUUUGUAAUGUAUAUAAGAAGGUGGCUGAUGCAGUCAUUGUACACUGAUCUCUGAGUACUAUUGCUUAUCAGUGCCCACUCUUGGGUGUCUGAAUAUAGUGGAUUUAUUUUGUCAGGUUAGGUUUUUCUUCAGACCCUUAGUUGUCACUAACCUAAGUUCAGCACAGUGUUUUGUUCCAGUCAGCUCAGCCUAUUACCUCCACCUUCCGCUGCCAGGCAGUACUGGCCAAAUCAUGACCAGAGAUGGGUAUGCACGUGUAACUCAAAUUUUGAUGUAAAUCUGUCAUUGACGACUAUGGAUUUGUGCUGAAAUUCAAAUUAUGUGCAUGGAUAUCCAGUUAGAUUUUGGCCUUACGAUCUCUCUUGGUCACGUGUAGCAAUACCUUGUUUAGAUAUGGUAUGAAUGUUAAGGUGUGUAUUCAGCCCUGUAGGGUCAGAGUCUUCUCUUUGGUGAACUUUUACUCUCCAAAAUGUACUGCCUUACCAAGGCCUCUCAGCUGGGCCUGUCUCACAUUUUAUAGGAGAUGGUGUGAAAAAGGACGCUGUCAACAGCCUGCCUGUGUCUGUGCACUGUUGUCAAAUGUUUUGUGAAUGGAUUGCAUCUCAUGUCCCACCUCCCUGGGGGCUCUUCCAGAAAGCUGGAUCAAUGAGUUAGCCAGCUAACGGUCCCCCAAAAAACGUAAAUAACAGCAUUUCUUUUUCGAGAAUUAUGAACUUGAAAUUGGUAAUGGUAUAAUUGACUUGACAACCAACAAUCCAUAUUCAGGUUUAGUUUUCUCAGUGAAAAUUGAGAGAUGUAUUUGGCUGCUUAUCAAAGUUAACUGGCUACGGUAAUGAUCCUGCUUCCUGGAACACUCCACUGCUCAUCAACACACUCUUUCCUAGUUAUUCCUCCAGAUAUUCUUACUUCAGUAAAAUAUCAUUAACAGAACUCCUCACAUGCACAAACAGCACUUCUGUGUCUUACCACCUCCUCUCCUCCCCUUGCCAUGCCACAUGUGUAUCAAACUCAGUAUUCUGGUCUGGGACAACCAUUCUAGGCACAUUAGCAGCACGCCCUCUGUUACACUCAGACUUGCAUCGUCCUCAGACUUCUGCUCGGAGCGUGAAAGUGCUACUUCAGCGGUUUUCUGGGUUCUUCUCUUGACUCUAACCAUCGUAAGAAAGGGAAAACAUUUGACCUGUACGUUUUUGACCUCACUCUUCUUAUUACAAUUUUAUUCAAGAAAGAAAAUUGCACUAAUUUGCCAUCCUUUAUAGUAUUAUAAAAUUAACGGUUAGUUAAUUGAAGUUUUUAAUUAUUAGCGCUAAACAACACAAAACCCAAUGAAACAAUCACUUGACAGUUGUGCAUGUUUGUAGAGAUAAUGUUUUGUAUGGCUAUUAUCAAGCUUGUCAAUAACGCCUUAAGAUCUGCUUUGUACAAUGUGUUAAUGGAAUGAUGCUUACAAGUGACCCAGUUUCCCUGUUUUUCUGUAGCUGCAAAGGUGGAUCAGUUCACUCUUGUUGUAUUGACCCCCUCUUGGCACUCUCCUGGUGUUUUAUUCAUAAGCAGAAAGGCAUUUGGAGAUGGAUUGUAUCUCUCGAUAGGGAUAGGUUACAGUGAGGGAUCAUGUUAGGGUGAGUCCCUAGCACUGCUUGAAAGCUGGACCAGUAACUGACUGCUGUUGUUUUUUUUUUUUAACACACGCACAACCCUCUGUUGUUAAUGUGAGUGGACGUUGGGAGUAGGUCCCUGAAGGUGAGGUUGUGCUCCAUGUAUUUUAGUUCUGGUCCUGUCUGAUCUACAUGGGAGAGAAUGUGAGGCUUUUCAAACCAGUGAAAACUUUCCUUUAUUGGUAACUGUAUGAUCUGUUUUUGUUUUGUGAUUAUGGAAAAAGGCUUUAUGACCCCUGUAUAAAGUAGCCCUGUUGGUCUGAUCUUGUAUGACUGAGGUAAAUAGACUGGAUGGGAUGGUGUUGUUGCCAGGCACUAGAGAUGCAUAAUUAAAUCAGGAAGAUGAG
rnacentral:lncRNA from 1 species